CGUGCUAUCAAUCUUGAUCUCCAGAGAUUCAGGCUAAGCCAUAUUUCGCAAAUCUGCAGAUUGCUAACAUUACUGGCUUCAACGAACUCUUCAACCAUGCCCAAGUAGUCCAUUCACCAUUUCACCUUCAUUCGCUUUCGCUAUCAGUUUGCUUUGGCUCCCUGUUUCACCUUAACGCUGAAACAAUCAUUUAACACCAUUUUCCUUCAAUCAAAUAUACUACUACAAGAUUUGGUGAAACCCAGCUCCUCUCAAACAACCAAACCCUUCAAUAACUACACAAACCCUUUUAUUCAGAUGCUAUUCGUUACAAUUUUGAGUUUUCAUCUCAAUUGGUAAGUGACAUGGAUACAAAUCCGGCGGAGUCUCAGAAGCAACAACAGAUCUCAAAAAGGGAAGAAGGUGUGGAAGAAACGCUCCCUCAAAACGAUUUUCCAAUCCCUAGAUGUCUGAACCUCAGUUCCCUCCCA